rnacentral:lncRNA from 1 species
UUCUUCAAAGUGCAAGUAUUUCUUAUGUUCUGCCUGAGCCUUCUGGAGUACUGCUCUGUUUUCAGCAUUGGGAACCUCCUCAAACAAUUUCUCUUUAAUUUUAACAAUAUCUUCUCUAAUCACUAAUUGUUUAAAGAUAUCACCAUAAGUCUCUUUACUCCACUUACUCAAGGCAGAUUUAACCCUUUUGAUAUUUUCCUUGAAUAAUAGAAAAGGAUUUAGAUUUUCAUUAGCC